rnacentral:rRNA from 1 species
AUUGAACGCUGGCGGCAGGCCUAACACAUGCAAGUCGAGCGAGCGGCGGACGGGUGAGUAAUGUCUGGGAAACUGCCUGAUGGAGGGGGAUAACUACUGGAAACGGUAGCUAAUACCGCAUACCAUCAGAUGUGCCCAGAUGGGAUUAGCUAGUAGGUGGGGUAAAGGCCUACCAAGGCGCCGAUCUGUAGCGGGUCUGAGAGGGUGCGCCGCCAAACUGGGACUGGGUCACUGCCCAGACUCCUACGGGAGGCAGCAGUGGGGAAGCUUGGGCAAUGGGGGGAACCCUGAUCCAGGCAUGCCGCGUGGGUGAAGAAGGCCUUAUGGUUGUAAAGCACUUUAAGCGAGGAAGCGUUACUCGCAGAAUAAGCACCGGCUAACUCUGUGCCAGCAGCCGCGGUAAUAC